rnacentral:rRNA from 1 species
GAUGAACGCUGGCGGCGUGCUUAACACAUGCCAGUCGAACGGACAGGCCCAAGCUUGCUUGGUUUCUCGAGUGGCGAACGGGUGAGUAACACGUGGGUGAUCUGCCCUUCACUUCGGGAUAAGCCUUGGAAACUGGGUCUAUUACCGGAUAGGACCACAUUUUGGAUGGUGCGGUGUAAAGUUUUGCGGUGUGGGUUGAGCUCGCGGCCUAUCCCCUUGUUGGUGGGGUAAUGGCCUACGAAGCCGCCGACGGGUAGCCGGCCUGAGAGGGUGUACGGCGACAAUAGGACUGAGGGAGGGCCCAGACGCGAACGGGAGGCAGCAGGGGGGAAUAUGACACAAUGGGCGCAAGCGUGAUGUAGAGAUGCCGGGUGGGGGAUGACGGCCUUCGGGGGGUAAACAAAUGUCGAUAGGGAUGAAGCGGAAGUGACGGUACCUGGAGAAGAAGCAACGGCUAACUACGUG